rnacentral:rRNA from 1 species
GACGAACGCUGGCGGCGUGCCUAAUACAUGCAAGUCGAACGAGUGGCGGACGGGUGAGUAAUGUCUGGGAAACUGCCUGAUGGAGGGGGAUAACUACUGUAAACGGUAGCUAAUACCGCAUACCAUCAGAUGUGCCCAGAUGGGGUUAGCUUGUUGUGGGGGUAAGGGCUCACCAAGGCGACGAUCCCUAGCUGGUCUGAGAGGAUGACGAGCCACACGGGAACUGGUGCACAGUCCAGACUCCGACGAUAGGCAGCAGUGGGGAAUAUUGCACAAUGGGCGCAAGCCUGAUGCCGCCAUGCCGCGUGUAUGAAGAAGGCCUUCGGGUUGUAAAGUACUUUCAUCGGGGAGGCGUUACCCGCAGAAGAAGCACCGGCUAACUCCGUGCCAGCAGCCGCGGUAAUAC